rnacentral:rRNA from 1 species
AUUGAACGCUGGCGGCAAGCCUACCACAUGCAAGUCGAACGAGUGGCGGACUGGUGAGUAAUGUCUGUGAAACUGCCUUAUGGAGGGGGAUAACUACUGGAAACGUUAGCUAAUACCGCAUACCAUCGGAUGUGCCCAGAUGGGAUUAGCUAGUAGGUGGGGUAAAGGAUCACCUAGGCGACAAUCCCUAGCUGGUCUGAGAGGAUGCACAGCCACACUGGAACUGAGACACGGUCCAGAGUCCGACGGGAGGCAGCAGGGGGGAAUAUUGAACAAUGGGCGCAAGCCUGAUGCAGCCAUGCCGCGUGUAUGAAGAAGGCUUUCGGGUUGUAAAGUACUUUCAGCGGGGAGGCGUUACCCGCAGAAGAAGCACCGGCUAACUACGUGCCAGCAGCCGCGGUAAUUC